AUGCUUAACACAUGCAAGUCGAACGGGGAUUGGGAGCGAUCUUGAUCCGAGUGGCAAACGGGUGAGUAACACGUGGGUGACCUACCCUCGAGUGGGGAAUAACGCUCCGAAAGGGGCGCUAAUACCGCAUGAACUCGGGAGAGCAAAGUCUCGCAAGAGAUACUCGGGGAGGGGCCUGCGGCCCAUCAGGUAGUUGGUGAGGUAACGGCCCACCAAGCCGAUGACGGGUAGCUGAUCUGAGAGGAUGACCAGCCACACUGGCACUGAGACACGGGCCAGACUCCUACGGGAGGCAGCAGUGAGGAAUAUUGCACAAUGGGCGCAAGCCUGAUCCAGCCACGCCGCGUGAGUGAUGAAGGCCUUCGGGUCGUAAAGCUCUGUGGGGAGGGACGAACCGCUGCACGUUCAUAUCGUGCAGCAUGACGGUACCUCCUUAGCAAGCACCGGCUAACUUCGUGCCAGCAGCCGCGGUAAUACGAAGGGUGCAAACGUUGCUCGGAAUCAUUGGGCGUAAAGCGUGUGUAGGCGGCUUGUUAAGUCGGGUGUGAAAGCCCUGGGCUCAACCCAGGAAGUGCACACGAAACUGGCGAGCUUGAGUACGGGAGAGGGUCGCGGAAUUCCCGGUGUAGAGGUGAAAUUCGUAGAUAUCGGAAGGAACACCAGUGG
rnacentral:rRNA from 1 species